CUGCAGAAUCCUCCUUGCCGCUAGGCGCUAUCAUAACACAAGCCUAUCAGAAUGGCUAUACAGAUGUGACAUCAUCAAAUGCUACCGAGGAAGUGGAAGGUAUGAAGAUACAACCACCCUGGAAAAUGGAAUGAUGUUUCCUUAUAAAAUCAAACAUGUAAUUUACCAUACAACCUAGUGAUUGCACUCUUGGGCACUUAUCCCACAGAAAUUACAACAUGAAUGUUCAGGGCAGCUUUAUUUGUAAUAGCAGACAACUGGAAACAAUCUAGAUGUCCUUCAGUGGGUGAAUGGUUAAAUGAACUGUGGAAUAUCCACGCCAUGGACUAUUCUUCAGCAAAAAGGAAUAAACAACUGAUAUAAGCAACAACUUGAAUGAAUCCCAAGCAUAUUAUGCUGAGUGAACAAAAAGCAAUUCCAAAGAGUAUCAUUGUCUGAUUCUACUUUUGUAACAUUCUUGAAGCGACCUAAUUUUCAGGAUGGAGAAUAGAUUAGUAGUUGCCAGAGACAGGGUGGCAUACUUAAGGGAAAAAGUAAUAAUAUGGGCAAGAGGGAAGUAGGUAUGAUUAUAAAAUGCUAACAAGAGGGACCCAGUGUGUGGCAAUGGAAUACUUUAGCAUUUUGUGUUUGUUUUGUUUUUUGAGACAGGGUCUCGAUAUGUAGUCCAGGCUGGCCUUGACCUCAUAGCGAUCCUCCUGCCUCAUCCUCCCAAGUCCUGGGAUUACAGGUCUAGGUUCCAGCAUUGCUCUUCCAAAAAGCCUUUCUGCAUAGUAUCCCCGGGUCUUGCACUGGCUCCUCACCAGGUCAGUAAAACAUGUUUACACAUUGCCCACCAGUUUUAUAAGCCUAUUUACUUUCCAUUUCUGCCUUUAGGCCAAGCCUCCUGAAGUCACUGAGUGGUUUGCAUCCCUGACCCCCUCUAUGGCUGAGAAGAGCUGCCCUGAUAAAGGCCUGCUGAUGCUUUUGAGGCUUGUCAACACUGGAGCUUCUCAAACAAUGUCUUAAAUCUAGUAAGAUGGUAAAGCAACCAAGUGCUCCCCCAAGUCCACCAUCUUUGGAAAGACUAACCGACAAGGACCUUCAAAGAACUGCAACUUGGAGAGAGAGUGGCUGGGUUUCAAUUUUGCUAGUUAACCUCUGUGUGACCUCGGGAAAAUCACCUUCUGAGUUUCUACUUCUAUUAAAUGACAAUUAGGAGCUCUAGCUUCCUUGCAUUUAACCAUAUCGGAACACUGACCUAGGAUUCUCAAGGUUGCAAAAGAAGUUUAUUAUCUGUCUCACUGACUCUAGAAAGUAUUGUUCCAUUUCCCAGAGGGGAAGCUGAGACUGAGAGAGGUAGAAGGGCUUGCAAGUAAGUACUGAGUGGCACUACAGCAAGUUAGUGGCUAAUGGAGGAAUUAUACUGGGCAUAUGGUUAAAUCCAUGGUCCUCCUCAACCUAGUUCCUGCUUCCACAGAGGGGCUAUAACCAGUCUCCUCACAGCCACAGUGCACUUUGCAGACAAGGCUGCCUCUGUAUAGGAGGCCCACUCAGGAGUCAGUCCUUUAACAGCUCUGCUGGAAUAGGCUUAGCUUUGCACUGUGCAUUAACCUGGAAAAUUAAUCAGUAUAAGAGUCCAUUAUUCAGAGACCUCCACCUACUGACUUUUAAAAAUACAUUCUUGGGCUGGGGAUUUAGCUCAGUGGUUUCUCCGCCUGCUGUGCAAGUGCAAGGACCCGAGUUCGAUCCCUGGUAUCAAAAAAAAACACACAAAACAUUCUUAAGGUGGGCUAGUGAAUAAGGUACCCAGAGUAAUCAAAUUCACAGAGCUUUCAGGGGCUAGAGGAGUGGGGAAUGGGGAGUUAGUGUUUACUGUGUACAGAUUCUUCUGGGAUGAUGUAAAGUUCUAGAGAUAAGAUGGUGAUGGUUGCUAAACAAUGAGAAUAUACUUAAUGCCACUGACCUGUAAUCUUAAGUGGUAAAUUUUAUUAUGUGUAUUUUACUAAAAUACCCUAAAACUUCAAAAUAAAAGGAAAGGAAUGUAUUAUAAACUUAUUUAUGAUAUACAAAACAGAAAAGUCAUUUUAAUCUUAUUGCCCUAAUGGCAAAAAGUUUUAAUGGCAAUCAUUUUGGAAUGGUAACCUUUCUAAGAAAAAAUAGUAACUUCUGCUUUGCUCUUUUUUUUUUUGGUUUUUUGAGGCAGGGUCUCCUUUUGUAGUUCAGGCUGGCCCUGAACUAUGUAGCCCAGGCUGGCCUCUAACUCACAGCAAUCCUCCUGCCUCAGCCUCCGGAGUGCUGGGAUCAUAGGCGUGCACCACCACACCCAGCUGCUUUACUCUUCUUAAACACAGGCAAUGUGGUAGAACAGAAAGAACAGUGAACCAGAAUUUCAAAUCUUCAAUAAGCUGUGUAGCUGGGUGACCUUGGGCAAGUCAGUUUACUUCUCUUUGUUGUUGUUGUUGGUACCGGGGAUUGAACUUGGUCAGGACCUUGCGCUUUCGAGGCAGGCAG